UAGCGGAACUCCUACGGGAGGCAGCAGUGAGGAAUAUUGGUCAAUGGGCGAGAGCCUGAACCAGCCAAGUAGCGUGAAGGAUGACUGCCCUAUGGGUUGUAAACUUCUUUUAUAAAGGAAUAAAGUCGGGUAUGGAUACCCGUUUGCAUGUACUUUAUGAAUAAGGAUCGGCUAACUCCGUGCCAGCAGCCGCGGUAAUACGGAGGAUCCGAGCGUUAUCCGGAUUUAUUGGGUUUAAAGGGAGCGUAGAUGGAUGUUUAAGUCAGUUGUGAAAGUUUGCGGCUCAACCGUAAAAUUGCAGUUGAUACUGGAUAUCUUGAGUGCAGUUGAGGCAGGCGGAAUUCGUGGUGUAGCGGUGAAAUGCUUAGAUAUCACGAAGAACUCCGAUUGCGAAGGCAGCCUGCUAAGCUGCAACUGACAUUGAGGCUCGAAAGUGUGGGUAUCAAACAGGAUUAGAAACCCUAGUAGUCCACUUAUG
rnacentral:rRNA from 1 species